rnacentral:rRNA from 1 species
UACGUAGGGGGCAAGCGUUGUCCGGAAUCAUUGGGCGUAAAGCGUGUGUAGGCGGCUUGGUAAGUCCGCACUGAAAGCCCGGGGCUCAACCCCGGGAGGCGGGUGGAUACUGUCAAGCUCGAGUCCGGAAGAGGCGAGUGGAAUUCCUGGUGUAGCGGUGAAAUGCGCAGAUAUCAGGAGGAACACCAAUGGCGAAGGCAGCUCGCUGGGACGUGACUGACGCUGAGACGCGAAAGCGUGGGGAGCAAACAGG